rnacentral:lncRNA from 1 species
AAUUAUGGCCAGCUGCUUCUUAGGAAAAAAAAAAAGGACUGCAUUUACUGUAGGUCCUGCUUUGUAUUUGCCCCAAAUCCCAGCCACGUGUUUCUCCUGCCCACAGUAGAGAGCCAUGGAAAUAGACAGCAUCAUAAAACAGAUAUUUCAAGGCUGUGUGAGCCCCGCCCCACCCUUUCUGGAAGGCGAGGCAUUGGCGACAUUUAACCACCUGUAAGGGCUGAGCUCCUUCAUAGCUGCUGCUCCUUUUCUGAACAAACAGCCAAGCUCAGCUGGGAGGCAUCCUUAAAGGUCAGCUCCUCCUCCCUCCAAAGCUUGAAUUUCUCCCCAUGCAUCACUAGUUGUGCCUUUUUUUUCCUGCAAAACCAGUCACCACACUUGAAGCAGACUGAGCACCCACUGCCCAUGGGGUAGGAAGAGUGGUAAUACAAUGGCUGGAGGUCUGGCCCCAUGAGCUGGGUCCUCCUGUAGUAUUUUCAAGCUUGGAAAAGGUACAGCACUGAGAUAAGGGGAAGAAACCCUAGCCACAGAGGUGAUUUUGAUUUGGCUGUCUGGAUGCUGAAGAAUUCCUUUAUUUAUUUAUUUUUAGUCCUUGACGUUCAAUAAUGGCUCACUAUUACUUUGGUUUGAACAGAAGUUCGUUUUAAGAACCUUGAAGGAAACAACGUGUCCAAAGCAGAGGGCUUGGUCAGCUGUGAGACGUAUGGAAAAGAGAGCAUCACCAAGGAUCCCUUUAUCUUUUAUCCCAUACCAGCUCUGCCCCCAGGAGUGGGAGAUUUCACCAUCAGACUCCAGAAAUUCUGGUCCCAAAGGCAAGAUGUCCCUACUGUGAGCCUGAUGUUUAAACAUGAAGUUCACCUGACUCCCCCUCUUCUGAUUUCAUGUCCUCAUGGCAAUUUUCUGGUGCCAGUGAAGGGCUGCUCAUGUAGAGAGAGAAUGCAAAAAAAAAAAAAAAAAAAAAAAAAAAAAAUAC